rnacentral:rRNA from 1 species
GACGAACGCUGGCGGCGCGCUUAACACAUGCAAGUCGAGCGAGAACCGGAGCUUCGGCUCCGGGGACAGCGGCGAACGGGUGAGUAACACGUGGGUAAUCUGCCCUCGGUUCCGGGAUAGCCCGGGGAAACUCGGAUUAAUACCGGAUAGCCUCUCUGGCCUUCGGGCCGGCGAGAAAAGGUAGCUUCGGCCUCCGACUGAGGAUGAGCCCGCGGCGGAUUAGCUUGUUGGCGGGGUAACGGCCCACCAAGGCGACGAUCCGUAGCUGGU